CUUUCUGAGACAUGUUUUCAUGGUGUGGGAAUAAGACUUGGUGGUCUUAUACAGCUAAUACAAAGAUUAGCAUCACAGCUUGUCUGUAAGGAUUGAAGCUGGGAGUGGGCAUUGGAGCUGACUUUUAUGAUAACUGUGGCUGCAUAAAAUGGUUG